rnacentral:rRNA from 1 species
AGUGAACGCUGGCGGUAGGCCUAACACAUGCAAGUCGAACGGCAGCACAGUAAGAGCUUGCUCUUACGGGUGGCGAGUGGCGGACGGGUGAGGAAUACAUCGGAAUCUACUUUUUCGUGGGGGAUAACGUAGGGAAACUUACGCUAAUACCGCAUACGACCUACGGGUGAAAGCAGGGGAUCUUCGGACCUUGCGCGAUUGAAUGAGCCGAUGUCGGAUUAGCUAGUUGGCGGGGUAAAGGCCCACCAAGGCGACGAUCCGUAGCUGGUCUGAGAGGAUGAUCAGGCACAAUGGAGCUGAGACACGGUACAGACUCCUACGGGAGGCAGCAGUGGGGAAUAUUGGACAAUGGGCGUAAGCCUGAACCAGCCAUACCGCGUGAGUGAAGAAGGCCUUCGGAUUGUAAAGCUCUUUUGUUGGGAAAGAAAAGCAGCAGGUUAAUACCCCGCUGUUCUGACGGUACCCAAAGAAUAAGCAACGGCUAACUUCGUG